rnacentral:rRNA from 1 species
UGGGGAAUAUUGCACAAUGGGGGGAACCCUGAUGCAGCCAUGCCGCGUGAAUGAAGAAGGCCUUCGGGUUGUAAAGUUCUUUCGGUGACGAGGAAGGUUGAUAGGUUAAUAGCCUAUCAAAUCGACGUUAAUCACAGAAGAAGCACCGGCUAACUCCGUGCCAGCAGCCGCGGUAAUACGGGGGGUGCGAGCGUUAAUCGGAAUAACUGGGCGUAAAGGGCACGCAGGCGGUGACUUAAGUGAGAUGUGAAAGCCCCGAGCUUAACUUGGGAAUUGCAUUUCAUACUGGGUCGCUAGAGUACUUUAGGGAGGGGUAGAAUUCCACGUGUAGCGGUGAAAUGCGUAGAGAUGUGGAGGAAUACCGAAGGCGAAGGCAGCCCCUUGGGAAUGUACUGACGCCCAUGUGCGAAAGCGUGGGGAGCAAACAGGAUUAGAUACCCUGGUAGUCCACGCUGUAAACGAUGUCGAUUUGGGGAUUGGGCUUUGAGCUUGGUGCCCGUAGCUAACGUGAUAAAUCGACCGCCUGGGGAGUACGGCCGCAAGGUUA